rnacentral:rRNA from 1 species
ANAGUUUGAUGCUGGCUCAGAACGAACGCUGGCGGCGUGGCUAAGACAUGCAAGUCGAACGGACCAUUAAUUUAUUAGUGGUUAGUGGCGAAAGGGUUAGUAACGGGUAGGUAACGUACCCUGUGCUUUGGGAUAGCGUCAGUAACUUCGGUUACUUUCCGAAAGGGGCGGUAAUACCAAAUAAUAUCAUUUGUUGAUAGGCAUUUGAUCAAAGAUUUAUCGGCGCGGGAGCGGCCUGCCUCCUAUCAGCUUGUUGGUGAGGUAAUGGCUCACCAAGGCAUCGACGGGUAGCGGGACUGAGAGGUUGGCCCGCAACAUCGGGACUGAGACACUGCCCGGACCUCCACGGAGGGCUGCAGUAACGAAUAUUGUGCAAUGGGCGAAAGCCUGACACAGCGACGCCGCGUGUAGGAGGAAGUCCUUCGGGAUGUAAACUACUGUCAGGGGGAAGAAAGUAUACUUCGGUAUAUUGAUCUAACCCAGAGGAAGUCACGGCUAACUUCGUGCCAGCAGCCGCGGUAAGACGAAGGUGGCAAGCGUUGUUCGGUAUUACUGGGCUUAAAGCGUGUGUAGGCGGAAAAUUAAGCGUUGUGUGAAAUCCCCCGGCUUAACCGGGGAACUGCAUAACGAACUGGUUUUCUUGAGGCAAGUAGGGGUGCAUGGAACUCUUGGUGGAGCGGUGGAAUGCGUAGAUAUCAAGAGGAACGCCAGCGGAGAAAUCGGUGCACUGGGCUUGUCCUG